rnacentral:misc_RNA from 1 species
GGGAAAUUGCGGAAGCGAUCACUGACAAUGCAAGGGAUAAUUUUUCCAAGACUGUGGGGCUAUGCAUGGGAUACGUUCAAGCCUGGGAUGUACCCCAAAGCUCACCUCCUCAACAAGGGAUGAGUUUCUCCCAAGACCAUCAACUACUUGUAACUGGACAAGCUUAUGUGGUGCCUUUUUUGUUGAAAUUGGAGGAUAUCUAUGAGCCAAUUAAAAAAGCCAACAAUAUCACUCAGAAUAUAAUAUAUAAUUUAGAUGAAAUUGAGGGAGAUGAUUUUAUCUUGUUUACCUCUUUGAUUUCUCAGCAUAUCCUGGCUUUUCAAGAAAGAUUUAAAAAUUUGCAUGCUUCAAUGCAGGAUUUCCUAAUGCAUAUUGUGGCCAAUGACAUUCCUCAACCUAGAAGGAAAAAA